rnacentral:rRNA from 1 species
AGUGAACGCUGGCGGUAGGCCUAACACAUGCAAGUCGAACGGCAGCACAGUAAGAGCUUGCUCUUACGGGUGGCGAGUGGCGGACGGGUGAGGAAUACAUCGGAAUCUACUUUUUCGUGGGGGAUAACGUAGGGAAACUUACGCUAAUACCGCAUACGACCUACGGGUGAAAGCAGGGGAUCUUCGGACCUUGCGCGAUUGAAUGAGCCGAUGUCGGAUUAGCUAGUUGGCGGGGUAAAGGCCCACCAAGGCGACGAUCCGUAGCUGGUCUGAGAGGAUGAUCAGCCACACUGGAACUGAGACACGGUCCAGACUCCUACGGGAGGCAGCAGUGGGGAAUAUUGGACAAUGGGCGCAAGCCUGAUCCAGCCAUACCGCGUGGGUGAAGAAGGCCUUCGGAUUGUAAAGCCCUUUUGUUGGGAAAGAAAAGCAGCAGGUUAAUACCCCGCUGUUCUGACGGUACCAAAAGAAUAAGCACCGGCUAACUUCGUG